rnacentral:rRNA from 1 species
AUGAACGCUGGCGGCGUGCCUCAUACAUGCAAGUAGAACGCUGAAGCUUGGUGCUUGCACCGAGCGGAUGAGUUGCGAACGGGUGAGUAACGCGUAGGUAACCUGCCUCUUAGCGGGGGAUAACUAUUGGAAACGAUAGCUAAUACCGCAUAAAAGUCGAUAUCGCAUGAUAUUGAUUUGAAAGGUGCAAAUGCAUCACUAAGAGAUGGACCUGCGUUGUAUUAGCUAGUUGGUGAGGUAACGGCUCACCAAGGCGACGAUACAUAGCCGACCUGAGAGGGUGAUCGGCCACACUGGGACUGAGACACGGCCCAGACUCCUACGGGAGGCAGCAGUAGGGAAUCUUCGGCAAUGGGGGCAACCCUGACCGAGCAACGCCGCGGGAGUGAAGAAGGUUUUCGGAUCGUAAAGCUCUGUUGUAAGAGAAGAACGAGUGUGAGAGUGGAAAGUUCACACUGUGACGGUAACUUACCAGAAAGGGACGGCUAACUACGUG